rnacentral:lncRNA from 1 species
UUAACUCGAAGCAGCCACCUCCCAUUUUCUGUCAAAUUAGCUGCCAACCUUUAAUUGGACAGAGAAGGAGGCGGCAACCUUCUCUUCUUUAUAAAAACAUCAAUCCGUACAAGGAAAAGGAGGAGGGGGAGUUUUACGCAGAAGAAAUCCUAACAUCUUCCCCCAAAUCCCCAAAUAGCCGUAGCAAUACAAAGUCCCAAACUAGUGUUUCCCAAAAACAAUGAAAUACCAAGAGAAAAAUAUCACUAAAUAACCUAUACAGUCAAACUUUCUACUCCUAAACUCAUGGAACUAGCUUCUAACCCUAACAAAAAUCCAAGAUAUACCCACAAGAAGGCCUUGAAGCUAUCUUCGUCCGUCUAGGAGUCGCCAAGGGGAAAGAACACGCGAAUCCGAGAAGCAAAAGCCACCACAACCUGAAAGCAAAAGGAGAUCCCAUAUGAAAAGGUAAGGUACUCCAAAACCUGCAUCUAUUCGGACAUUCAUGACACUAUUACGAUUAUUACCCUUGUUUUUGUGUUUAUGUACUUUUUUUGGUCCUUACUAUCCUUUGUUAAUGUUACUUACCAAUAUACUUCAUAGCCUAUUAAGCAAUGAAAGAAUCAAAGAAUAGAAUGACUAAAUUACACCAAUACCCACACCCCAAGUAGGCUGAAGCCUCUUCCAAAUGACCAACUGUUGCCUACCUUAACACCAUUAGCAUCAAAGACCCAAGUAUCAUACAAAUACUCGGAAUUUGCACUCAAUUUCACAAACAAAUUAUGAGUUACUCUAACAACUUUAUGGCUGGAAUUUCACAAAAUAAUCAGCUUAAUCAAAUCUGUUAAAGGAAGUCAAUUGGCAUGGUGUCAAAAUGAUUGGUUUUGCUUCAAUUUUGAGCGGGUCAAGUUUUCACCCAUCGAUGUGCAUAUUUAUUUAUGCCUAAGAAAAGGGGUAAUAAGCCCAUAUUUUACUCGGGUCAUUUAGCUAGCAAAAAUUUAAAUAAGAAUCUCGUACUUAGCUUUUUUGUCUUUCCGAAUCGGAUCAAGUCAUUCCCCACAUUCCGACUCCCUCAAACAAGUCAAUCCACAAACUUCAUUCUAUACCUGAAGUAACAUAAAAACAAAAUCACAUCCCAUCUUUGCAAACAGAGGGUUUAUUAAAGAUAAUAAAAAGAGGUCUUUUACCUAUUCGGCCGCUCCCGUGGACGUCCGGUUCACCGGCGACGAAUCCAGGACCGGUGGUCUUGUUUUCGUCGUUGGAUCCAUUCAUCUGCCCCCCGACAACCACAAAAAAAAGCAUUGUGCUUCUCAAACCAUAAGAAAAAUANNNNNNNNNNNNNNNNNNNNNNNNNNNNNNNNNNNNNNNNNNNNNNNNNNNNNNNNNNNNNNNNNNNNNNNNNNNNNNNNNNNNNNNNNNNNNNNNNNNNUCCGGUGACAUACAAGGCCAGAUUUUGCUAAAAUCGAAAAUAAAAGAGGAUUAGGGUUGGAGACGAUGUUUACCUCCGUUUUUACCGCCGUCGCCAUCUCUACGAGGCAGGGAUGACGAGGCGGAGAUGACGAGAAAGAGAGGGACGGGGCUGGAUGCUUACUUCGGUCAUCUUCUCGUCGUCGUCGCCACCUCUACUGCUAGAUGGAGGAGGAAAUCACGAGUCAUGGUUCUGUUCUUCUCUUGUGAAAGAUGAUGAUGAGAGAGUGGAGUUGAGAGGCGGGAGGAGGAUUUUAGGGUUGGAGAAUGAGGAUUUUGAUGUCUAUUAAGUAUUUGUACCUAAGAUAUUAGGGCUCCAGGCCAUAAUCUAUUAUUAAGUAAUGGGCUCUUUUUAAUUUAAGCAAAAUUCAGUGUUGGUCUUUGGGCUGCAUUAAGGCCUACAGUAAUGAACAUAAUUCUGCCAAUUUAUGUCCCUCUAAGCCUAAGAUAAACCUGCAUUCAAUUAAAUUAUGAUGGUCUUCAGCUAAAUUAGUUAAUUAAAAAGAAGAGAGGAAGGCGUAUGGUGUAAUUUUGUGUAAUUAAUGAAUUGUGUUCUUUGAUUGUUCUCGUUAACGUAAGUUUAAAGUUUAUAAUAUAAAGGACCAAAAAAUCCUUAAAUCACUAAUGGAGUCAAAAUUUCGAUAUUC